GAUGAACGCUGGCGGCGUGCUUAACACAUGCAAGUCGAGCGAAGCGCUUAAACGGAUUUCUUCGGAUUGAAGUUUUUGUGACUGAGCGGCGGACGGGUGAGUAACGCGUGGGUAACCUGCCUCAUACAGGGGGAUAACAGUUAGAAACGGCUGCUAAUACCGCAUAAGCGCACAGUACCGCAUGGUACCGUGUGAAAAACUCCGGUGGUAUGAGAUGGACCCGCGUCUGAUUAGGUAGUUGGUGGGGUAACGGCCUACCAAGCCGACGAUCAGUAGCCGACCUGAGAGGUGACCGGCACAUUGGGACUGAGACACGGGCCCAAACUCCUACGGGAGGCAGCAGUGGGGAAUAUUGCACAAUGGGGGAAACCCUGAUGCAGCGACGCCGCGUGAGCGAUGAAGUAUUUCGGGU
rnacentral:rRNA from 1 species